UAAAAUAGGCAUAUGUAUAUAUUUUUCCCGAAUUUAGAAGAGCUAGCUUUAGUAUACAUAUUAUUGUAGCAUAAAUAUUUAAAAUAUAGGGCUGGUAGUGAAAUGUUAUUCGUUUCUGAAUUUAUCUGGUUUUUUUAGAAAUAAAUUUAAUUUAGUUAAUUUUUUCAUUAAUUUAAAUUUUUAAAUUUUUGUAGGAAUUAGGAAAUUUUUUGAGGGAUGAGCUUCAAGAAAAACUAUUAUAAAGUUUAUUGUUAAUUACCUUUAAUAGGAUUAGAAGUUUCCGUUUUUUAUAAUGUUAUAAUUGUGGGUGUUUAGACUAUUAUUUAUAUAUCUUUUAAGUUUUUUAUAAAAAAAAAUUAUUUAAUAAUAUUUUAUUUAUUAUAAUGGUAGAAUUAGUAUAUUAAAUUGUAUUUUUAUAUUUUGGUUUAAGGUUAAUUAAAGGAAUUCGGCAAAAGAUUUUCUGCCUGUUUAUUAAAAACAUGGCCUUUUGAUUUUUAUUUAAGGUCUGGCCUGCCCACUGAGUCUUUAAAUGGCUGCGGUAUUCU
rnacentral:rRNA from 1 species